rnacentral:rRNA from 1 species
UACGUAGGGUGCGAGCGUUGUCCGGAAUUAUUGGGCGUAAAGAGCUUGUAGGCGGUUUGUCGCGUCUGCUGUGAAAUUUCGGGGUUCAACCCCGAACUUGCAGUGGGUACGGGCAGACUAGAGUGUGGUAGGGGAGACUGGAAUUCCUGGUGUAGCGGUGAAAUGCGCAGAUAUCAGGAGGAACACCGAUGGCGAAGGCAGAUCUCUGGGCCGUAACUGACGCUGAGGAGCGAAAGCAUGGGGAGCGAACAGG